rnacentral:lncRNA from 1 species
GUAAACGUAAUAACAAGCAGGCUUUGCACCACCUAACAAAACUGUCUGGCCUCCUGAUCACAUAGAAACAUAAGCUCUCUCUAUCAAGAUAUCUCUUUCCUUGUUCUCCCUCUCCAUCCCUCCCCCCAAUCCAGUUCCCUCAUGUUCUCAUCCCCCAUCCCCUCCCCUUUACCGAACCCUCUCGCGCCCAGUUUACCCAAGAAAUCUCAUCUAAUUCCCCUUGCCAGGGUGAUCCAUGUGUCCUUCUUAGAGUUCUCCUUGUUACCCAGCUUCUCUGGAGCUGUGGACUAUAUAGUCUGGUUAUCCUUUGCUUUACAUCUAAUAUCCACUUAUGAGUGAAUACAUACGGUGUUUAUCUUUCUGAGUCUGGGUUACCUAACCUAGGAUGGUUGGUUCUAGUUCCAUCCAUUUGCCUGCAAAUUUCAUGAUGUCAUUGUUUUUUUACAGCUAAGUAAUACUCCAUUGUGUAAAUGCACUACAUUUUCUUUAUUCAUUCUUCAGUUGAGGGCCAUCUAGGUUGUUUCCACGUUCUGGCUAUCACGAAUAAUGCUGCUAUGAAUAUUAUUGAGCAAGUGUCUUUGUGAGCCUUCAUCCAGUAAUUGAUGGAACCAGAUGCAGAGAUCCACAACCAAGCACCAGGCCCAGCUCCAGGAAUCUAGUCGAAGAGAGGGAGGAGGGAAUAUAUGAGCAAGGGAAGUUAAAAUCAUGAUGGAGAAAUCUACAGAGACUGCUGAACCAAGCUUGUGGAUAUUCAUGAACUCUUGACCAAUAGCUGUGGAGACUCCAUGGAAUUGAACUGAGCUAGGCCCUCUGCAUAUUGGAGACAGUUGUGAAGUUUGGGCUAUCUGAGUGCUGCCUGAUGGUAAGACCAAGAUCUAUCCCUGUGCAUGAGCUAGCUUGUUGGAGCCCAUUCCCUAUGAGGGGAUGCCAUGCUCAGCCUUAGUGCAGGGGGGAGGGGCUUGGUCCUGCCUCAACUUAAUGCGCUGAACUUUGUCGACUCCACAUGGGAGCCCUUACCUGUUCGGAGGAAUGGAAUGGGCUUGGGGGGAAGUAAGGGAGGCCGG